AUUGUCUCCGUCUGCUACUUAGAUACAUUUUCCGCUUCUUCAGGGAAACAUCGGCUUCCUACUUUCUGAUUCCGUGUGACGUGUCGUCAAGCUCUGGGGACCCAGCGGAGGAAAGCCAGCCGAGCACCAACUGCCACUAUUAAUCUCACCGCCGAGUCGCUUGUCCAGAACACCGAGCCAGGUAGGGGGAGGGAACUGCUACACGCAGAAAUCAACCAGGAGAAUGGCGAGAAUUUCAUCGCAACCGCAAAAGAACAUGCGUGAGGAAACGACAUUCAGCCUGGGUUUGAGUCGGAAAGAGGGCGACGCGGUUCUUCAGCCCCAGUGCGUCUGCGAUCGCAUCCCGUGCCCAGGGUUGAAGGCUGGCGCUCGCGCUUCCGCGGCUCGCGCGAUUUACCUCGCUGGGUCCCCUCGCCUCACUUCCCAUAAUCCCAUGGGGUCGCGGAGAGCUCCGGCUCAGAGGCUGACCGGGAAGGCGAACUGAAAAGUCUUACAAAACAGUCUACUUAAGUAAAAACUUAAAUACGUAGGCCUACUUACUGAACAACUGGAAUGCUACAUCUAACAUCUAGAACUGAUAUAUCACACAGUUAGUAACGAACAAAAUUAAUGAAAAGAAAAUGAAUCAUUUUUAACGUUUUCUACCUCCCAUAAAUAAAUCUGCCACUGUGGGUCAGUUGGUGUCCUUGUAGGUCACAUCAGUCCACAGCCCCGAAGCAGAAACCUACAUCAUUCAAUAUGUUUUUAAAGGGCAGGUAUGGAAAUAAAUAAAUAAAUAAUUUACUUACUUA